rnacentral:rRNA from 1 species
GAUGAACGCUGGCGGCGUGCUUAACACAUGCAAGUCGAACGAAGACAUCUGAGUGCUUGCACUUGGAUGGACUGAGUGGCGGACGGGUGAGUAACGCGUGGGUAACCUGCCUUAUACAGGGGGAGUAACAGUUGGAAACGACUGCUAAUACCGCAUAAGCGCACGGUAUCGCAUGAUACAGUGUGAAAAACUACCGGUGGUAUAAGAUGGACCCGCGUCUGAUUAGCUUGUUGGUGAGGUAACGGCCCACCAAGGCGACGAUCAGUAGCCGGCCUGAGAGGGUGAACGGCCACAUUGGGACUGAGACACGGCCCAAACUCCUACGGGAGGCAGCAGUGGGGGAAUAUUGCACAAUGGGGGGAAACCCUGAUGCAGCGACGCCGCGUGAGUGAUGAAGUAUUUCGGUAUGUAAAACUCUAUCAGCAGGGAAGAUAAUGACGGUACCUGACUAAGAAGCACCGGCUAAAUACGUGCCAGCAGCCG